rnacentral:rRNA from 1 species
CCGGGCGACGGCAUCUAAACAACUUGCAAUAAUAUCAAGUCGAGAAAACGAGAAAGCGAAAAAGAAUCUUAGCCCCACCGCACCACACAACCGCGUCUAGGGUUUCCACCUCGCCGCCGCCAUGUCGUCCGGCGACGAUGACCGCGUCACCGUCUCCAGGCACCACCAGCGGGACAAGGACAAGGACCGCGACCACUCCUCCUCUCGCCGCCACCGCGACAAGGACCGCCCCUCCUCUCGCCACCACCGCGACGACAGGGACGGUGAGCGGGAGCGGGACCGAGAUCGCGACCGCCACCAAAGAGACAAGGAGCGGGAUCGAGAGGAGCGGAAGGCGCGGGAGCGGGCGGAGAAGGAGCGCGAGAAGGAGGAGAAGAGGGAGAAGGAAAGGGAAAGGGAAAGGGAGAGGGAGAGGGAGGAGAGGGAGAUGGAGAAGGAGAGAGAGCGGGCGCGUCGUCGCGAGGAGCGGGAUAGGGAGAAGGAGAAGUCGAGGAGGCGGGAGGCGGUCGAUGAGGAGGAGAACGAAGAUCGUGACCGCGACCGCAAGCACCGCCGCCGGUCCUUGCACCGGCACCACCACCGUGAUGUGGAGCCAGAGGAGACACCGCUGACAAGGGAGGAGGAGGAGGAUGCGGAGGAGGUGGAGAGACGGCGGCAGAAGAAGGAGGAAGACAUGGAGGCUGAGCAGCAGCGGCUUGAUGACGAGAUGGAGCGGCGCCGCCGCCGUGUUAAGGAGUGGCAGGAGAAGAAGCGCCGUGAGCAGCAGCAGGAGGAUGGUGCCAGUGGUGGUGCAGCUGCCAUUGAGGCUGAUGGUGGAGGCAAGUCUGGGAAGAAGUGGACCUUGGAUGGUGAGGAGUCGGAUGAGGAGGAUGUGAAGAAGUUGGAGGAGAAUGCUGGCACUGGUGCCAUGGAUGUUGACCUACCAAGCAUGGAUAAUGGCAGUAACAGCGGGGCUGGUUUGGAAGAGGAUGAGAUUGAUCCCCUCGACGCGUUUAUGGACUCCAUGGUGUUGCCAGUGGUUGCAAAGCUCGAGAGUGCCACAACAGCGACGGAGAGCGUGCUUGCUGACAAUGCAGGUGGUUUGAAUGACAAGAGUGUGAAGGAUGCCACAAGUAAUGAGGAUAAGAAAAGACAGAUGAUGGCAAUUGGAAGAAUUAUGCAAGGGGAUGACUCUGACUCAGAUUAUGACGAUGCUAAUAAUGGCGAGGCUGGAUCAGAUGAUGAGGAUGAUGCAGAGUUCAUAAAACGUGUCAAGAAGACGAAGGCAGAGAAGUUGGUUAUUGUUGACCAUUCCAAGAUUGAUUACCAACCAUUCCGGAAGAAUUUCUAUAUUGAGGUGAAAGACAUAAAAAAUAUGCCAGCCGAGGAAGCGGCGGCCUACCGGAAGCUGUUGGAGCUCAAGGUGCACGGGAAAGACGUUCCGAAGCCAAUAAAGACAUGGAUCCAGAGUGGUCUGACAAGUAAGCUACUUGACACUAUCAAGAAGCUUGGUUUUGAGAAACCGAUGCCUAUACAAGCACAGGCGUUGCCAGUCAUAAUGAGUGGACGUGAUUGUAUAGGGGUUGCAAAGACUGGAUCUGGGAAGACUCUAGCAUUUGUCUUGCCCAUGCUGAGGCAUGUCAAAGAUCAGCCGCCUGUUGUGCCUGGGGAUGGCCCUAUUGGGCUUAUUAUGGCUCCUACGAGAGAGCUUGUGGUGCAAAUAUAUUCAGACAUAAAAAAGUUCUCCAAGGUGCUUGGCAUCAACUGUGUUCCUAUAUACGGAGGUUCUGGGGUUGCCCAGCAGAUCAGUGAACUGAAGAGGGGUGCUGAAAUUGUUGUUUGUACACCAGGCAGGAUGAUUGAUAUCCUUUGCACUAGCAGUGGCAAGAUUACUAACCUUCGAAGAGUGACUUUCUUGGUGCUAGAUGAAGCUGAUAGGAUGUUUGACAUGGGUUUUGAGCCUCAGAUUACUCGAAUCGUUCAGAACACCCGUCCGGAUAGGCAGACUGUCCUUUUCUCUGCCACUUUUCCACGGCAGGUGGAGAUACUGGCACGUAAAGUGCUGACAAAGCCUGUUGAGAUUCAGAUGGGUGGGAGGAGCGUCGUGAACAAAGAUAUCACACAACUGGUGGAAGUGCGACCAGAAAGCGAGAGGUUCUUUAGGCUGUUGGAAUUGCUUGGGGAGUGGUUUGCAAACGGAAAAAUUCUUGUUUUUGUACAGUCGCAAGAUAAGUGUGAUUCUCUACUGAAAGAGCUGUUCCAGCACGGAUACCCAUGUUUGUCUCUACAUGGUGGAAAGGAUCAAAAUGACCGUGAAUCAACUCUUGCUGAUUUCAAGAGUAAUGUAUGCAGCUUGCUGAUUGCUACCAGUGUUGCUGCAAGGGGUUUAGAUGUGAAAGAUCUUGAGCUUGUUGUCAAUUAUGAUGUAACUAAUCAUUAUGAGGACUAUGUUCAUCGGGUCGGGCGAACGGGUCGCGCUGGUAGGAAGGGCUGUGCUGUGACUUUUAUUUCUGAGGAAGAGGAACGCUAUGCACCAGACCUUGUUAAGGCUUUGGAGCUAUCUGAACAGGCCGUUCCAGAGGACCUGAAAGCCUUAGCGGAUCGAUUUAUGUCAAAGGUCAAGCAGGGAACAGAGCAGGCCCAUGGAACGGGCUAUGGUGGAAGUGGUUUCAAGUUCAAUGAAGAAGAGGAGGAAGCACGGAAAUCUGCAAAAAGGGCGCAGGCAAGGGAAUAUGGAUAUGAGGAGGACAAGUCAGAUUCAGAUUCUGACGAUGAAGGGGGUGUGCGUAAACAGGGAGGUGAUGUUGCAGCACAAGCUAUUGCUGCUGCUCAAGCUGCCGCUGCUUUGGCUGCUGCCAGGGCAACUAGUAAUGCCCAGCAGCAAGUACCAGCCACAACGGCUGGCUCCUUGCUUCCUCUGCCGGUCGUACCUAGCCAACAAAACAAUGAAGCCACACAACGAGCACUUGAUGCUGCAUACAACUUACAGAAAAAUUUGGCAAGGAUACAGGCCCAUGCAGUUCCAGAACACUAUGAAGCGGAGCUUGAGAUUAAUGAUUUCCCACAAAAUGCUCGCUGGAAGAUCACUCACAAAGAGACAUUGGUUCCCAUUCAGGAAUGGACUGGAGCGGCAAUUACUACAAGGGGAACCUUCAUUCCUCAAGGCAAAAUUGUUGGUGCUAACGAGCGCAAGCUGUACCUGUUUAUUGAGGGCCCCAAUGAGUCUUCCGUCAAGAAGGCCAAAGCAGAAUUGAAGCGUGUCCUCGAGGAUUGUGCCAACCAGGCACUGAAUCUUCCAGGUUCUGCUCAAACCGGAAAGUAUUCUGUUCUUUGAUCUGCAGUUUGUAUAACAAAAUGGAUAAAGUAUGGGAGAUGUUGAGAUUUUCUUGAGAAGCUUACCGUGGUUUGCAGAUCACAAUCCAAUUGUUGGACUUCAGAUAUGCAACUAUUUUUUAAAACUUUAAGCCAUUAUAUAAGGCAGCUAGCAGUUACUUAGUGCCAUGUGGUUAUUGUGGAAACUGUCUAGCUUGGAACGUUUUGACAAUUUCUAUAAUUCUUUUGACAAACUUUUAUUGCCUUUGGACAUAAGGCUUAGAAAUGCUGGUCACUGUUGUGAACAUGCAGUUUACUGUUCUGAACACUAAAUGGAGAAUGCUGCCUUCCUUCUUCUUUUUCAUGCAGUUUUUACUGUUGUGAACACUAAUUGGAGAAUGCUGCCUCCCAGAUAUGCAGUUUACUGUUGUGAACGCAGUUUACUGUUGUGAACGCUAAAUGGAGAUUCAUGGUGUACUGUCCACCCAUAGUACUGUUGGGAAUAAAAACUUAACGCCAAAGAGGCUUUGAGUUUUCUGGUGCAACUUUGAAGCUGUGCACUUUCAGAGUGAUGACGAAAGCAAUAAUGCACUAUACUGUUGCAAGCCGAGAAUCAUAUUUCUGAGGCGGUGGUGCGACUGGUGGUCGAAGAGGCUGGGGGCCCAUAUUUUCAGAGAUAAAAGGAUUUUUUUUUUUUUUUUGAAACGGGGCA